rnacentral:rRNA from 1 species
GACCUGCAGAUGGAUCAUUUCGAUGAAAACCUUUUUUUCUUGAGGUGUGGCUCGCACCUGUCUAACUAAACUUGAGCUACCUUUUUUCAACACGGUUGCAUCGGUUGGCCUGUCAAACAGUGCGGCGGCGUGAAUUUUCACGUCUGCUUUGGCUGGGCGACGGGCCGACACUUAAUCAACACUUUUGAUGAUCUAGGAUUUGAAUGAUAAAAGUUCAUUUUUACAAUGAAAUCGACUGGUAAUGCGGUCGUCUAAUUUUUAAAAACAACUUUUGGCAACGGAUCUCUUGGUUCUCCCAUCGAUGAAGAACGCAGCGAAUUGCGAUAAGUAAUGUGAAUUGCAGAAGUGAAUCAUCGAAUCUUUGAACGCACCUUGCGCUCCCGGCAGAUCUAAUCUGGGGAGCAUGCCUGUUUGAGGGCCGCGAAUUGUUUCGAACGACAACUUUUUCUUCUUUUUUUUGAAGAGUUGGCGGAUCGGUAUUGAGGGUUUUGCCAUUCACCGUGGCUCCCUCGAAAUGCAUUAGCGCAUCCAUUUGAUAGGCAAGACGGACGAAAGCUCGAUUUUCGCUCUCUCUUCCCUGCCGGGUUUUGAUAAUAUCAGGACUUCGGAGAGGUUGAGAUGGGUAAGAGCUGGACGCAACGGCUUGCUGUUUGGAGUGCUUCUGAAACCCGCCCAUAUCGAGCUUUGCCUCGGAAGGGAUUUUAAUAAUUCAUCGGCCUCAGAUUGGUAGGACUACCCGCUGAACUUAAGCAUAUCAAUAAGCGGAGGA